UACGUAGGGUGCGAGCGUUGUCCGGAAUUAUUGGGCGUAAAGGGCGCGUAGGCGGCCAUGCGUGUCUUCCGUGAAAUCCCUCGGCUUAACUGAGGACGUGCGGAAGAAAACUGCAAGGCUCGAGUCCGGGAGAGGAGGGUGGAAUUCCCAGUGUAGCGGUGAAAUGCGUAGAUAUUGGGGAGGAACACCGGUGGCGAAGGCGGCCCUCUGGACCGGUACUGACGCUGAUGCGCGAA
rnacentral:rRNA from 1 species